rnacentral:rRNA from 1 species
AAACCAGCACCUCAAGUGGUCAGGAUGAUUAUUGGGCCUAAAGCAUCCGUAGCCUGCUCUGUAAGUUUUCGGUUAAAUCUGUACGCUCAACGUACAGGCUGCCGGGAAUACUGCAAAGCUAGGGAGUGAGAGAGGUAGACGGUACUCGGGAGGAAGUGGUAAAAUGCUUUGAUCUCUCGAUGACCACCUGUGGCGAAGGCGGUCUACCAGAACACGUCCGACGGUGAGGGAUGAAAGCUGGGGGAGCAAACCGAAUUAGAUACCCGAGUAGUCC